UACGAAGGGGGCUAGCGUUGUUCGGAUUUACUGGGCGUAAAGCGCACGUAGGCGGAUCUUUAAGUCAGAGGUGAAAUCCCAAGGCUCAACCUUGGAACUGCCUUUGAUACUGGGGAUCUCGAGUUCGGGAGAGGUGAGUGGAACUGCGAGUGUAGAGGUGAAAUUCGUAGAUAUUCGCAAGAACACCAGUGGCGAAGGCGGCUCACUGGUCCGGUACUGACGCUGAGGUGCGAAAGCGUGGGGAGCAAACAGG
rnacentral:rRNA from 1 species